CUCUCUCACACAUCUAUUAACAGGGUUCAAGUAUCUCUUCUUGCUGAUAAUAAUUUGUUCGCUUUUUCCAUCUACCCUUCUAUUUAUAAUUCUAUAUAAUUGGAGUUCGUAUAAUAAUAGUUCUGCGUUAUUCCACGUUUUGGUGAGUUAACGCGGCCAAAUUUAGCUUUUUUUUUUUUUUUUUUCUCUUCAUUCUAUUUGUAUUGUAAUGAAUUGAGAACCAGGUGACUGCGUCUUAAGCACUGCGAUAAGCAUAAAACUGAUGAUCCAUUGUAGUCUGCAAUCUUGGUUCUUGACUUUGUGCUAGAAUUGUUAAGAGGCCUACUCUAAGGUACUGGGGAAGGUGUACAGAACAGUAUCCGAAAGAAGAAGUACAGGGAUUGAGUUCUCUAAUGGCUUGGCAAUUGAAGUUCAAAAAUCUCCGGAUUGCAAGCGGUUCUUUAAUUUCUAUAUAGAUCUUCAAUUUAGAUGAGGCAGAGACAAUUUCCAGUAUGCUGUCUGGCCCAUAUUUUGACUUAUACAGACUGCCGAUGUCUACUAAAAAAUCUUUUGAGUAAGAAGUAUAUCCUUUCUGGUUACCCUAUUAACAUGAGUUUUUGAAAUCCUUAUUUUCACACUGUACUUCCUUAGAGCAAGGUAUUAAUUACUGAGUUGGAGUUGGUAGUUGAUAAUUUUCCUUCAGGAGAUGACCAGAAGAUCUUGUAUGAAGUUGAUUUAUGGUCAGUCAAAUCCGUUAUGAUCUUCUGAGGUUUCUGUACUAAAUAUUCCUCAUAUGAAAGUAUAUCUAACUCCUGGUUUUGUGUAGAAGUGGAUGAUGUAUCUUAAGUUUGUAAUCGUUCCCCCUCCUCAGCCUCACCCUGAGAAUGUGCACAUUUUUUUGAUCAAGGAUGACUGGAUGAGAAAAAAAGGCCAUUAGCUCCAUGUUGGCCCCAGCUAUCUGGCUCUUGGGAGCGAUAGACUGGGUAUGGUCCUAUGGUCCUAACCUUUGGCAUUUUUAUGGACAAAGUGGCCACCCUCAGACUUGAACCCCCCAUUCUCAUGCUUUCCAUCUCAAGAUUGACCAAGGAUGAGAAAAUUUUACUAAAAGUGAACAAAAGGAAAAAAA